rnacentral:tRNA from 1 species
GGGCGUGUGGUCUAGUGGUAUGAUUCUCGCUUUGGGCAUGCGAGAGGCCCUGGGUUCAAUUCCCAGUAUGCCCC